GGGCCGAUGGUCUAGUUGGUUAGGACGCUGCCCUUACAAGGCAGAGAUCCCCAGUUCGAAUCUGGGUCGGCCCA
rnacentral:tRNA from 1 species